UGACUAACCAGGUGAAGCAUUUCACUUUGGUGGGGAUCAAUCCUCUCCAAAUACUCUUCCAGUGAUGAUGGUAGCCUCUAACCCCAACUUGUAUGCCUUUCUUGUAAGCACUGUUUACUGUGAAUUUGCCAUCCUUGUUGUGCUUCCAAAUAACUCUAUCUGGUGCAUUUGUUACUAGAUUGGUUCCCCCCAAUUUUCCCAGGAAAGAAGCCACUCUAUCUACUUCCUAGUCAUUCAAUAGACUUCUGAAAGAUAGGUCCCAAAUUCACAUACUCUGGCUUCAGGAUUGUUGCAGAUUGAGAAAAGAUCUGGGAAUGACUCACUUAGAGGAAUUUGAUCAAUCCAUCCAUCUCUCCAAAACUUGAUCUUGUUGCCAUUUCCAAUUUUGAGAAACACAUUUUCUUCCAUAGAGUUCCAUAAAGCUCUGAUUGACCUCCAUACUCCCCAUCCAUAGGGUUCUGACACUAUCUCUGUACACCAUGGGUUCAAUUCCCCAUACUUUGCCACUAUCACCUCCUUCCAUAGGGUUCCUUCCUCACUAGUAUAUCUCCACAACCACUUCAUCAAAAGGCUCUUGUUUUGGAUUCUCAAAUUUCUAAUACCCAGUCCCCCUCUUUCUUUGCUUAGCAUCACAGUAUUCCAUUUCACUAAAUGGUAACCCUUGCCCUCUCCCUCUUUGCCUUUUUUCCAGAGGAAGUUUCUUCUCAGUCUGUCCAGCUUUUUGAUAACUAUUGGAGGAAUUGGAAAUAACGACAUAACAUAAGUAGGCAGUGAAUCUAAACAGAGUUUAUCAAGAUCACUCAACCCCCCAAGGAUAGAUAUUGAGUCUUCCAUCUUGAUAAUUUUUUUUCUGCUUUGCUUUUUCCAGAAUUCCAUCCCUUAUCCCCCAAAGCUUUAUGUUUGCUCCCUAGUGGCAUUCCCAAGUAGGUUGUCGGCAAUUUCUCUACUUUACACCCUAGAAUGCUUGCCAAUCCUUGAAUCUGAGGCACCUCCUUGACUGCAAUCAAGCUGCUUUUCCCCCAAUUGACCCUUAGCCCUGAUACUGCUUCAAAUAAGAUCAGAAUCAAUCUGAUGUAGUUCAGCUGUUCGGCUUCUGGCUCACAAAGGAUGAUAGUAUCAUCUGCGUAUAGCAAAUGGCUGAUCUCCUUUCCAUUCCCUAUUCUGUCUCCUAUUUGGAAACCCUUGAUCCACCUGUUCUGUGUAGCUAUUCUCAUCAUACUGUCAAAACCUUCCAUUACUAGAAUAAAGAGAAAAGGAGACAGUGGAUCACCUUGUCGCAGCCCCCUUUCAUUGCAUGGGACACAUUUCCUUUUUUUAACAAGUAAUAAGUGAAUUUCAUUGCACAAGGAGUUAAACCUUGGUAUACAAAAUAGUACAUUUAGCUUCUGACACAACUCACAUCAUUAACAUUAAGCACACUUUCUCAAGCAAAUACAAUUUAGACCACAUUAUAACCAAAUCUGAACUCUAGUUUAACAAUUUUGGACCACUAAAACUAUAAUUAAUGAAUUGAAAGCUAAGUUAUUAAUCUUCCUGCCAAGUUAAACAGUGCUGCCCCAAAGCUUUAUGUUUGCUCCCUAGUGGCAUUCCCAAGUAGGUUGUCGGCAAUUUCUCUACUUUACACCCUAGAAUGCUUGCCAAUCCUUGAAUCUGAGGCACCUCCUUGACUGCAAUCAAGCUGCUUUUCCCCCAAUUGACCCUUAGCCCUGAUACUGCUUCAAAUAAGAUCAGAAUCAAUCUGAUGUAGUUCAGCUGUUCGGCUUCUGGCUCACAAAGGAUGAUAGUAUCAUCUGCGUAUAGCAAAUGGCUGAUCUCCUUUCCAUUCCCUAUUCUGUCUCCUAUUUGGAAACCCUUGAUCCACC
rnacentral:lncRNA from 1 species